UGGGGGAUUUUGCACAAUGGGCGCAAGCCUGAUGCAGCGACGCCGCGUGAGGGAUGAAGGCCUUCGGGUUGUAAACCUCUUUCGCUGGGUUGAAAGGCCAUGCUUUGGGUGUGGUUGAUUUGAACUGGUAAAGAAGUACCGGCUAACUACGUGCCAGCAGCCGCGGUAAUACGUAGGGUACUAGCGUUGUCCGGAUUUAUUGGGCGUAAAGGGCUUGUAGGUGGUUUGUCGCGUCUGUCGUGAAAUCCUGUGGCUUAACCAUGGGCUUGCGGUGGGUACGGGCAGGCUUGAGUGCGGUAGGGGAGACUGGAAUUCCUGGUGUAGCGGUGGAAUGCGCAGGUAUCAGGAGGAACACCGGUGGCGAAGGCGGGUCUCUGGGCCGUUACUGACACUGAGGAGCGAAAGCGUGGGGAGCGAACAGG
rnacentral:rRNA from 1 species